UAUCAUACGGAUGAACGCAUUAAUCGCAAAAUUCAACAGUUUACUCUGUGCUUUGGUGUCAAAGAUAUCUAGAUCUGUCAGCAUUUGAUAAGUUUCCGUGUACUGUACAGCAACAAUUAGGAUAAUCUGACAACAGGAAGGAACAACAGAAUGGCACCCAGUUUUUGCCGAAUGUGCUUAUUUUUUCUGGUUUUUAGUGUAGCAGCGCUGACAGGACAAGAACACGAUGAAUGGAUUGAUCCUUAUAACAUGCUUAGCUACGAUUCCACUUCAAAAACCAUGAGAGAAAACCCAGAAGAAUCCAACAAGAAAUGUGGCAUGGAAAGCACUCCAGACCAAGAUCAUGAAGAUGUCAAUGAAAAUUCUGCCCCAGAAAUCUCGCAUUGUUCCAGCAAAGUGUCUGUUUUGCAAAGACAGAUUGAAGACAUUAAGCGCACAGCUGCAGAACUAAUGGAACAAUCUGAUUUUACCUGUCCACCAAACAGCAAGUUGGCUGAACUUCUGAAGGGCAUCCAGAAGCUGAACACUCCCCAUGAGGAUGACUUUUGUAAUACCCUGUAUGAAUGGUUGUACACAUUUCUUGAGGAUUCCAGGAGAUAUAUUUCUGUUUGGUUGCUCACUGUUGGUGCACAUUUGACAGAGUUAUCAGAAUUCACCUCUCUACCAGUUGUCACAUACUGGCUGAUACCAGCAACGUGCAUUCUUCCUGUCAUCUUUCUGUGUUUGAUUGUGCGCAGAGUGGUUAGAUGGCAGCGGGGACGGCCAGACCCCAGACACGAACCUGGGGAAGAGGAACCCGAUGGCUUACAGAAUAACGACAGGCAGCCAGAGGACCAAGAAGGAGAUGCAGACAUUGUGGAGUUUCACUGUCAGAGUCAAAGCCUAGAUCAAUUUGUCAACAUGCGAGUAGACGAUCUGGUUCCCGAAGGGGUAGGUGAUUGAUGCUGCUGAAGACGAGUGCUAUGAUGAGAAUUACUCAAUCACAAAGCUGCCCACCACCGAGACUCAACCAGCUACACUUCAAUUUUGGCCAGGAGUAGGCGAGUCUUUUGUGGAGAGCCCGCAACAAGCUUACCUCUCUGAGGCAGAGCACCAUGAACUCUUAGUAGGAAGUGUUGUCCUGGAGGGGGGGGAGAGGGGAAGGGAAGAUGGGGAAAUUGGAAAUAAUAAUUCCAACAAGGACCAUUUGAAAGCUGAGAGGCUGAGCGUGAACAGCAAGUCACUUCAGCAAAAGCAGGAAGAACCACCUCCGACAACCCAAAGGCAAAACCAGGGACAGCCAGGCUUAAAAGGACCUGGGGAAGGGGAACCCAAUUGCUUGCAGAAUGAUGACAGGCAGCAGGAAAACCAGACAGGAGAUGGAGACAUGGAGCUGCAGGGUCAGGAUCAAAGGCUGGAUCUCGUCAACAUGCAAGCAGACAGUCUGGGUCCUGAGAGUGCUAAUGAGAGGAAUCUCUCAGGAUCACCAUCAAGAGGAACCUAAUACUGCUUGAUUACUACUGCUAGAUGACUACUCAAUGACAAAGCACUCCACCGGUAACAGAGAC